UUUCUCCUCAGGUGACCCUAGCUGCUCUUGGAGAAAUAUUUGAAGCGGCACGUGCCAUUAUGAGUUGGCUUGGUGAUUGUGCAAAGAUAAUUGCAUCCGAUAAUCAUCCAGUGCGAUGGAUCACCCCUCUUGGGCUCCCUGUUGUGCAACCCUAUUGCAGAAGUGAAAGACAUCUGAUAAGAACAUCUCUUCAGGUUUUGGCUCUUCAGCGAGAGGGUAACACGGUAAAGCCUAUUUUGUUCCUUUAUUUGUGAGCACUGAGCAAAUUUCAC